rnacentral:tmRNA from 1 species
GCUCUUUUUUCGUCAACCUUCCUCGCCUAUAUUGGCGUUGCCGUCCGCAAGGCCGGCUAUGGCGAUAAACGUGCGUUGGAAUAAACCUAUCGGACCCGGGGGCAGUACCCGGCGGCUCCACCAAUUCCAGGAGUCAGGAAACCGGCAUCAGGGAUCAGGACGCAAAGCUUCUGCCUGAUACCCUGACGCCUGAUGCCUGAUCCCUGAUCACGGGGCCGAAACAGGAUCGACGAGGGCGUAAAGGACGUGCUUUUGCCCGGUAUGGUACCGCCGUGAUGGACCAAUCCAUAGUUGCCAACGACAACUAUGCUCCGGUAGCGCAGGCCGCGUAAGCGGUUUGUAAUACCGAUACUUAAAGUCCUGACGGGAUAAGCUCCGGCAGGCGGGGUUCGGAGGCACCUGGCAACAGAAGCCUCCACU